UCCUCUGUAGUUCAGUCGGUAGAACGACGGACUGUUAAUCCGUAUGUCACUGGUUCGAGUCCAGUCAGAGGAG
rnacentral:tRNA from 1 species